GUGAUGGCCUGAAACAUGACCAUUGCACUGAGCAAGUUCAGUUUAUACAUGAUAAGUCAAAUACAAGUCAUAUACAGCCUAUAUUAAGUAUUACCCAAUACCUCCACAGAAAAUAUAGACUACAUGUAGUUGUUCUGUUGAGGGUUUGAUAUCUUAAAAUGAUCAUUACACACUCUGUCCCGAUGUGGAAUGUCCACAUGUGGAACAGAGCAGACCAUGGAUAACUAUAGUUUUAACUGUGCUUUGUGGAAAGUAAAAAUUAUUCAGUGAAAUUGACUACUUUUCUAAGCUAUUUAAAUACAGAUCUGGAAAGUAACUACUUUUGUUUAACUAUUUGAAUACAGAUCUGAGAAAGCAACUGCUUCAAAAAGUAUAUUUGCAAGAAAAUGUAUGUGAACCUUUUGGAAUUACCUGGAUUUCUGCAUAAAUUGGUCAUACAGUUUGAGUCUAAGUCACAACAAUAGACAAACACAGUCUGCUUAAACUAAUAACACAAGCAAUUAUACGUUUUCAUGUCUUUAUUGAACAUACCGUGUAAACACUCACAGUGUAGGGUGGAAAAAGUAUGUGAACCCUUGGAUUUAAUAACUGGUUGACCCUCCGUUUUCUGUAGUUGCGGAUAAGACCUGCACAACCAUUUUAAAUCGGAUUGAGGUCAGGACUCUGACUGGGCCACUCCAGACAGCGUAUUUUCUUCUGUUGAAGCCAUUCUGUUGUUGAUUUACUUCUGUGUUUUAGAUCGUUGUUCUGUUGCAUCACCCAACUUCUGUUGAGCUUCAAUUGGCGGACAGUUAGCCUUACAUUCUCCUGCUAAAUGUCUUGAUAAACUUGGGAAUUCAUUUUCCGUCGAUGAUAGCAAGCUGUCCAGGCCCUGAGGCAGCAAAGCAGCCCCAAACCAUGACUCUCCCUCCACCAUACUUUACAGUUGGGAUGAGGUUUUGAUGUUGGUGUGCUGUGCCUAUUUUUCUCCACACAUAGUGUUGUGUGUUCCUUCCAAAUAACUCAACUUUAGUUUAAUCAGUCCACAGAAUAUUUUGCCAGGAGCGCUGUGGAACAUCCAGGUG
rnacentral:lncRNA from 1 species